rnacentral:rRNA from 1 species
UCCUACGGGGGGCAGCAGUGAGGAAUAUUGGUCAAUGGGCGAGAGCCUGAACCAGCCAAGUCGCGUGAAGGAUGACGGCCCUACGGGUUGUAAACUUCUUUUGUCAGGGAGCAAUUGAGUCCACGUGUGGGCUUAGCGAGAGUACCUGAAGAAAAAGCAUCGGCUAACUCCGUGCCAGCAGCCGCGGUAAUACGGAGGAUACGAGCGUUAUCCGGAUUUAUUGGGUUUAAAGGGGGCGUAGGCGGAAUAUCAAGUCAUCGGUAAAAAUUCGGGGCUCAACCCCGUCGUGCCGUUGAAACUGCUGU